rnacentral:rRNA from 1 species
UACAGAGGGGGCAAGCGUUAUUCGGAAUUAUUGGGCGUAAAGGGCGCGUAGGCGGACUCUUAAGUCAGGGGUGAAAUCCUGGAGCUCAACUCCAGAACUGCCUUUGAUACUGGGAGUCUUGAGUUCGGGAGAGGUGAGUGGAACUGCGAGUGUAGAGGUGAAAUUCGUAGAUAUUCGCAAGAACACCAGUGGCGAAGGCGGCUCACUGGCCCGAUACUGACGCUGAGGCACGAAAGCGUGGGGAGCAAACAGG